rnacentral:rRNA from 1 species
GCAAGUCGAACGCGAAAGUCGCCUUCGGGUGGCGAGUAGAGUGGCGGACGGGUGAGUAACGCAUGGGAAUCUACCUUACAGUGGGGGACAACCCGGGGAAACCCGGGCUAAUACCGCAUACGACCUACGGGUGAAAGGGGGCUUCGGCUCUCGCUGUUGGAUGAGCCCAUGUCCGAUUAGCUAGUUGGUGAGGUAAAGGCUCACCGAGGCGACGAUCGGUAGCUGGUCUAAGCGGAUGAUC